CCUAUGGGGGGCAGCAGUGGGGAAUAUUGGACAAUGGGGGGAACCCUGAUCCAGCCAUGCCGCGUGUGUGAAGAAGGCCCUCGGGUUGUAAAGCACUUUCAGUGAGGAAGAACGCCUGGUGGUUAAUACCCAUCAGGAAAGACAUCACUCACAGAAGAAGCACCGGCUAACUCCGUGCCAGCAGCCGCGGUAAUACGGAGGGUGCGAGCGUUAAUCGGAAUUACUGGGCGUAAAGCGCGCGUAGGUGGCUUGAUAAGCCGGUUGUGAAAGCCCCGGGCUCAACCUGGGAACGGCAUCCGGAACUGUCAAGCUAGAGUGCAGGAGAGGAAGGUAGAAUUCCCGGUGUAGCGGUGAAAUGCGUAGAGAUCGGGAGGAAUACCAGUGGCGAAGGCGGCCUUCUGGACUGACACUGACACUGAGGUGCGAAAGCGUGGGUAGCAAACAGGAUUAGAUACCCGUGUAGUC
rnacentral:rRNA from 1 species